GCUGGGUAUGGUGGUGCAUACCUGUAAUCCCAGCUACUAGGGAGCCUGAGGCAAGAGGAUUGCAAGCUCAAUGCCAGUUUGGGCAAUUUAGUGAGACCCUAUCUCAA
rnacentral:sRNA from 1 species